GGGGAUGAACUUAGAGUCCCCACUUUCGGGCGUGUUAAUAGUCGUGCUUUUGGCCGAGCGCGACGGUUAGUGAAUC
rfam:Prevotella pleuritidis F0068 contig00003, whole genome shotgun sequence.